GUCCUGGUGUGGAUCUGCUGGGGGUCGAUGUUCUGAUCCAUGUUCCUGCUGCUAGAUGCUGGUGUCCUGGUGCAGGAUCUCCCGGUUCUGUUCUGGCCGUGAAGAGCAGGAAGAUCUGCAGCCCCUGGAGACAGCACAGAGGGAGGCAGUCGGGUUCUGUUCUGGCUCUGAAAGGUUCUGUUCUGGCCGUGAAGAGCAGGAAGAUCUGCAGCCCGUGGAGACAGCACAGAGGAAGGCAGUCAGCUGUGGAAGCAACCCAAAGUUCUCAGAACCUUCAGAUGGAUGCCUGUUGCUCACGUCAUACCUGUGUGGUGGUGCAGAGGCAGAAGAGGAUGCUGAAGACCAGGUGGAGGGUUCCUGUGGUCACCAGGACAAAGUAGCCCAGGGUCCAGGACAUUCCCAGCAGCACGGCCAGAGAGAAGCUGACCAGAACCUUCCGGGUCAGGGAGGAGCGCUUUGUGCUGGCGAGUCAACAGAAACCAAGAGUGCGUCCUGCAGGGGGCAGUAAUGACUGACCUGGUGAGCCGGGGAUCCACCCUGCAGGUGGUCAGAGAGGGAACCCACCUGAUGGGAACUGGAUGUGAACCAGAGCGUCGAUGAGGCCGCUGUCCUCGGUGACCUUUGACACGUUGGUGUUCAGCUGAAUCCUGUUUGAUACAAAACUGCCAGACAGCCCUGAACACAGCCAGAAGCUUCAGUGGGUUUAAAGUCACCAGGUCUGCUCAAAGAUCCUUCAGAGAAGCGCCACGCUUUGACCGGUGGCAUGCAGUGACCUACUGACCUGCGAGGGCGGUGAACUGGACUCCCUGAGUGUCUGAA